rnacentral:misc_RNA from 1 species
UUUAUCCUGCAAUGCCUGCAAGUUAAUCCAGACGAUCGUCCCACUGCUGCUCAGCUCUUGGACCAUCCAUUUGUUAAGAGGUCAUCUCAUGCCUAAUUAGGCUUUGGAAAUAUCUCGGUAAUUGUGGUGAUUUUCCCCACUUCAGCCACUUAUGCCAUUAUAAAAUGGAAAAAUUCUUGCCCAUCACCAAUACAUCACAG